CAGAACGAACGCUGGCGGCAGGCCUAACACAUGCAAGUCGAACGCCCCGCAAGGGGAGUGGCAGACGGGUGAGUAACGCGUGGGAACCUACCUAGAGGUGCGGAAUAGCCCAGGGAAACUUGGAGUAAUACCGCAUAAGCCCGCAAGGGGAAAGAUUUAUCGCCUUUAGAUGGGCCCGCGUCUGAUUAGCUAGUUGGUGAGGUAAUGGCUCACCAAGGCGACGAUCAGUAGCUGGUUUGAGAGAAUGACCAGCCACACUGGGACUGAGACACGGCCCAGACUCCUACGGGAGGCAGCAGUGGGGAAUCUUGGACAAUGGGGGCAACCCUGAUCCAGCCAUGCCGCGUGAGUGACGAAGGCCUUAGGGUUGUAAAGCUCUUUUGGCGGGGACGAUAAUGACGGUACCCGCAGAAUAAGUCCCGGCUAACUUCGUGCCAGCAGCCGCGGUAAUACGAAGGGGACUAGCGUUGUUCGGAAUUACUGGGC
rnacentral:rRNA from 1 species